GGAUUAGGCAUGCAAGUCGCACGAGAAAGGCUUCUUCGGAAGCCGAGUAAAGUGGCGAACGGGUGAGUAAUGCAUAGACAACUCGCCCUUGAGAUGGGGACAACGCCUCGAAAGGGGUGCUAAUACCCAAUGCCGCCUUGGGCCUGCGGGUCCAGGGUGAAAGGAGGCCUCUGAUUCAAGCUUCCGCUCAAGGAGAGGUUUAUGUCCUAUUAGCUAGUUGGCGGGGUAAAGGCCCACCAAGGCGAAGACGGGUAGCCGGCCUGAGAGGGUGGUCGGCCACACUGGGACUGAGACACUGCCCAGACUCCUACGGGAGGCUGCAGUCGAGGAUCUUCCGCAAUGGGCGAAAGCCUGACGGAGCGACGCCGCGUGGAGGACGAAGGCCUUCGGGUUGUAAACUCCUGUCAAGGGUUAUGAAAGAACGUAGGCGAACAGUCUACGGAGUGACGUAAGCCCUGAAGGAAGCACCGGCUAACUCUGUGCCAGCAGCCGCGGUAAUACAGAGGGUGCAAACGUUGUUCGGAAUCACUGGGCGUAAAGCGCGCGUAGGCGGCCAGACAAGUGUCGGAUGAAAUCCCACGGCUUACCCGUGGAACGGUUCGGCAUACUGUCCGGCUCGAGGGUGGUAGAGGAGAGCGGAACUCCUGGUGGAGCGGUGAAAUGCGUAGAUAUCAGGAGGAACACCGGUGGCGAAGGCGGCUCUCUGGUCCACAACUGACGCUGAGGCGCGAAAGCUAGGGGAGCAAACGGGGUUAGAUACCCCGGUAGUCCUAGCCGUAAACGAUGGGCACUAAGUAGAGGGGUUUU
rnacentral:rRNA from 1 species